UACGUAGGUGACAAGCGUUGUCCGGAUUUACUGGGCGUAAAGAGCGCGCAGGCGGUCGUUCAAGUCGAGUGUGAAAGCCCCCGGCUCAACUGGGGAGGGUCACUCGAUACUGAUCGACUCGAAGGCAGGAGAGGGAAGUGGAAUUCCCGGUGUAGUGGUGAAAUGCGUAGAUAUCGGGAGGAACACCAGUGGCGAAGGCGACUUCCUGGCCUGUUCUUGACGCUGAGGCGCGAAAGCGUGGGGAGCAAACAGGG
rnacentral:rRNA from 1 species